rnacentral:rRNA from 1 species
GACGAACGCUGGCGGUGUGCUUAACACAUGCCAGUGGUGCGACGAACCAGAGCUUGCUCUGGGGCAAAGCCGCGAACGGGUGAGUAACACGUGGGUAAUCUACCCCGAUGACCGGGACAACCCGAGGAAACUCGGGCUAAUACCGGAUGUGGUGCGGAGACAUAAGUCUCUUCACUAAAGGUAGCUUCGGCUUCCGCAUUGGGAGGGGCCCGCGGCCCAUUAGCUUGUUGGUGGGGUCAAGGCCUACCAAGGCAACGAUGGGUAGCUGGUCUGAGAGGACGAUCAGCCACACUGGGACUGAGACACGGCCCAGACUCCUACGGGAGGCAGCAGUGGGGAAUCUUGCGCAAUGCGCGAAAGCGUGACGCAGCAACACCGCGUGAGGGAAGAAGGCCUUAGGGUUGUAAACCUCUUUCAGAUGGGACGAAGGUUCUCCGGUGAAUAGCCGAGAGGAUUGGCGGUACCGUCAGAAGAAGCUCCGGCUAACUACGUG